rnacentral:rRNA from 1 species
GACGAACGCUGGCGGCGUGCUUAACACAUGCAAGUCGAACGGAAAGGCCUCUUUCGGGGGGUACUCGAGUGGCGAACGGGUGAGUAACUCGUGAGUAACCUGUCCUUGACUUUGGGAUAACUUCAGGAAACUGGGGCUAAUACCGGAUAGGAGCUCAUGCUGCACGGUGGGGGUUGGAAAGAUUCGGCGGUUGGGGAUGGACUCGCGGCUUAUCAGCUUGUUGGGGGGGUAGUGGCUUACCAAGGCUCUGACGGGUAGCCGGCCUGAGGGGGCGACCGGCCACAAUGGGACUGAGAGACGGACCAGACGCGUACGUGAGGCAACAGUGGGGAGUAUGGCACAAUGGGUGGGAGCCAGAGACGGCAGCGCCCGGUGCGGGAUGACGGGCUGCGGGUUAUAAACCGCGGUCGCUCAGGACGGAGCUUUGAGUGACGGUAGUGAGUAAGAAAGCACCGGCUAACUACGUG